rnacentral:rRNA from 1 species
GACGAACGCUGGCGGCGUGCUUAACACAUGCAAGUCGAACGGAAAGGCCCUGCUUUUGUGGGGUGCUCGAGUGGCGAACGGGUGAGUAACACGUGAGUAACCUGCCCUUGACUUUGGGAUAACUUCAGGAAACUGGGGCUAAUACCGGAUAGGAGCUCCUGCUGCAUGGUGGGGGUUGGAAAGUUUCGGCGGUUGGGGAUGGACUCGCGGCUUAUCAGCUUGUUGGUGGGGUAGUGGCUUACCAAGGCUUUGACGGGUAGCCGGCCUGAGAGGGUGGCCGGCCACAUGGGGACUGAGAGACGGCCCAGACUCCUACGGGAGGCAGCAGUGGGGAAUAUUGCACAAUGGGCGGAAGCCUGAUGCAGCAACGCCGCGUGCGGGAUGACGGCCUUCGGGUUGUAAACCGCUUUCGCCUGUGACGAAGCGUGAGUGACGGUAAUGGGUAAAGAAGCACCGGCUAACUACGUG